UAAGAGUANGUGAAACCGUUUAGGGGUAAACCUGAGAAACCCGAAAGGUCGAAGGGAGAAAUUCAUUCGCGUUUCGUCAUCGGCGUUCGGCGAUCGAGUGACGGGGGACGUUCGCGUUCUCCGCGCCUUUCGUUGUCCGAUCCGGAGACGAACGCGUGCACUUUUCUCCUGGUAGGACGUCGCAAUCCGUCGAGUGUCGGUCUAAGGCUCGCGGUGGAGCCCGUAGAUGUCGUCUCACGACGAUAUUUGCGGACCCGCGUGUUCCCGGCCGACUCGCUCGACGGUAUACGAAAGGUUUAAGGCCGCUCCUUAGAGCGUUCGACUCGCAGCAAGCGCGUCAGAUGUCGUCGGUGAUCGGACCUAGUGCCGGUCCCGACCUCUGGCGACUGUUGGCCGCGAAGUUCUCGAACAGACCUUAUCAAAACCGAUCUGCGACGCUAUAGCUUUGGGUACUUUCAGGACCCGUCUUGAAACACGGACCAAGGAGUCUAGCAUGUGCGCGAGUCAUUGGGAAUUACUAAACCUAAAGGCGCAAUGAAAGUAAAAGUUCGUCUCGCACGGACCGAGGGAAGAUGGGCGGUCCUUAGUGGCCGCUCCGCAUUCCCGGGGCGUCUCGUUCUCAUCGCGAGAAGAGGCGCACCAAGAGCGUACACGCUGGGACCCGAAAGAUGGUGAACUAUGCCUGGUCAGGACGAAGUCAGGGGAAACCCUGAUGGAGGUCCGUAGCGAUUCUGACGUGCAAAUCGAUCGUCGGAACUGGGUAUAGGGGCGAAAGACUAAUCGAACCAUCUAGU
rnacentral:rRNA from 1 species